GACGAACGCUGGCGGCGUGCUUAACACAUGCAAGUCGAACGGAAAGGCCCUGCUUUUGUGGGGUGCUCGAGUGGCGAACGGGUGAGUAACACGUGAGUAACCUGCCCUUGACUUUGGGAUAACUUCAGGAAACUGGGGCUAAUACCGGAUAGGAGCUCCUGCUGCAUGGUGGGGGUUGGAAAGUUUCGGCGGUUGGGGAUGGACUCGCGGCUUAUCAGCUUGUUGGUGGGGUAGUGGCUUACCAAGGCUUUGACGGGUAGCCGGCCUGGGCGGGUGACCGGCCACAUUGGGCCUGGGAUACGGCACAGACUCCUACGGGAGGCAGCAGUGGGGAAUAUUGCACAAUGGGCGGAAGCCUGAUGCAGCCAAGCCGCGUGCGGGAUGACGGCAUUCGGGUUGUAAACCGCUUUCGCCUGUGACGAAGCGUGAGUGACGGUAAUGGGUAAAGAAGCACCGGCUAACUACGUG
rnacentral:rRNA from 1 species